CAAACCUUAAAUUAUGCUUGCUAGGUGUCUGAGUCCUUCGGGAUUUGGGUGCCGUAAUCUAACGAGUUAAGCAAGUCGCCUGGGUAGUAUAUUCGCAAGAAUGAAACUCAAAGGGAUAGGCGGGGGAACACACAAGCAGUGGAUUAUCUAGAUUAAUUGGAUACAAAGCCAAGAAUCUUACCUAGGUUUGACAUGCAUUAUGUCUACGGUGAAAGCCGUAUAUUCGUAGCAAUACGAAGUGUUGCACAGGUGG
rnacentral:rRNA from 1 species